AUUGAACGCUGGCGGCAGGCUUAACACAUGCAAGUCGAGCGGAGUGAUGGUGCUUGCACUAUCACUUAGCGGCGGACGGGUGGGUAAUGCUUAGGAAUCUGCCUAUUAGUGGGGGACAGCAUCUCGAAAGGGAUGCUAAUACCGCAUACGUCCUACGGGAGAAAGCAGGGGAUCACUUGUGACCUUGCGCUAAUAGAUGAGCCUAAGUCGGAUUAGCUAGUUGGUGGGGUAAAGGCCUACCAAGGCGACGAUCUGUAGCGGGUCUGAGAGGAUGAUCCGCCACACUGGGACUGAGACACGGCCCAGACUCCUACGGGAGGCAGCAGUGGGGAAUAUUGGACAAUGGGGGGAACCCUGAUCCAGCCAUGCCGCGUGUGUGAAGAAGGCCUUAUGGUUGUAAAGCACUUUAAGCGAGGAGGAGGCUCUUUUGGUUAAUACCCAAGAUGAGUGGACGUUACUCGCAGAAUAAGCACCGGCUAACUCUGUGCCAGCAGCCGCCGCCG
rnacentral:rRNA from 1 species